GACUCACACACCGCUGGGGGGGACCGAACUCACACACUGCUGGGUGGGGACUGAAACAACUUCUGCUUGAGUCCUUUAUCACUAGAAUUUCCCUUUCCAGUGAAAUCCUCCCUGGCUCACUUCAGAACUUGGAUGUAGUAACCCCGUAUGUUUUUAGGGGACACUUCUCAUAUUCCAGCUCCUGAAAUUCCCACCAUCUCUUCCUGUUGCCUGUUUUCUUGUCUCUUGGUAAUUUCUUUCGAGUCUUCUCUUUGCCAGGUGAGUGUGGAUUGAAUGUUGCUUUUGCCUGUUAAAGGUUGUAGAGACGAUGUGGGGACUGGAUGUGUUAUCUUUAGGAAGGAUUUUCUUUUACUCAUGGCAGGUGUUUGGGUGGGGACAAAAAUCUCAAUCCAAUUAGGGUUUGUGCUGUUUGGGGGCUGACUUUCAGGGGUUUUCCCCCUAAACUUGCUACUAAAUCAGAUAGUGAAUAUGUUUCAUGUCUAGAAUUAUAAACUAGAGGUUACUUCCUCUACCUAGCUCAACCUUCUUAGGGAAUGUGAGCACAAAGCUAAACGUUCCAGCUUUCUCAUCCCCACAUUUGCAAACACGACAACGUCUGGCUGUCCGGGUCCUCGGUGAGAGGGGCAAGCCAGGCAGGCUUGUUUUUGAAGUAAAGAGGGUUUUUAUGGGGAGGAGACAUUGAGGGAAGAGGAGGGAGGCUGUGGGGAUAGGAGGAGCUCUGGGAGACAGUGGGGCUCCCACAGUGGAGGGGUCAUUGCAUUUCAGUCCAGCACAAUUCCUUACAAGUGACUUUUUUUUUUUAAUUUCAAGAACAAACCAUUUGAUAUAGUUUGAUGUGUGUGCCCUGCAAAUCUCGUGGAAACGUGACCCCCCACCACUGUGUUGGAGGUGGGCCUGGUGGGAGGUGUCUGGGUCAUGGGGUGGAGCUCUCAUGAAUGGCUUGGGGCCUCCCUGCUGUGUCGAGUGAGUUCACUGGAAAUCUGGCAGUUUAAAGAGCCUGGCACCUCCUUUUCUCUCUUGCUCCCUCUCUUGCAGUCUGACACACCUGCUCCCCCUUCACCUUCCAUCAGGAGAAAAAGCUUCCUGGGGUCUCCCAGAAGCAGAUGUCAGAGCCAUGCUUACUGUACAACCCGCAAAACCAGGAGCCCAGUACACCUGCUGCUUCAUAGGUUCCCCAGCUUCAGUUACUCCUUUACAGCAACGCCAAGCAGAUGGAUACACGAACCACAUUAAGGGGCGAAUGGUUCUUGCUAAUCGAUCUUGAGACCAGCUGUGUGCGUUGGGGUUAAAUGGGAAACAGGUGUUAAACUUUUCUGACUUUACGCACAACACCUACUGCAAUUGACCACCUUCCUCCCGAUCUCCCUCGCUUUCUCCCUUCCUUGUCUCUCCGUCUCUGUCUCUCUAGGUCUCUCUCUUCCCUUCCUCCCUUGGUUCGCUGGUGUGUCAGAUGACUAAGAAGGGGAAACAUGCAAGUACACUCAAAAAUAAUUAUUUUUUGAGACAGGGUCUCUGUCGUCCAGGCUGCUGUGCAGUGCGUGACCUUGGCUCACCACAACCUCCACCUCCCCGGCUCAAGCCGUCCUCCCACCUCAGCCUCCUGAGUAGCUGGGACUACAGACGCAUGCCACCAUGUCUGGAUACUUUUUGUAUUUUUUUGCAGAAAUGGGGUUUCGCCAUUGCCUAGUCUGGUCUUGAACUCCUGAGCUCAAGCCACCCGUCUGCCUUGGUCUCUGAGAGUGCUGGGAUUACAGGCAUGAGCCACCACGCCCGGCCUCAGGGGAAUUAAAAUGGUUGAUGAGUUAAAACAAGAAUUAGGUCUGCACAUUAUGUAGUGUAGAAGCUUCUGCGAAGACUCCCAGCCCUGUUUGGACGACAUCACAUCUGAUUUAUCCUUGUGGUCUACACUGCUGGGUGCUUAGCCUUCUCCUCGGAGGGUCUGUGAAACUUCUCACUGCCUGGGACAGGAGAAGGGAGGCCGUGUGGGGGCAGAGACCUCUGUUCCUAGUCCAGUGGCAGCGGAUAAGGAUUUUUUCAUGCAAAGAGUAGCUGAGAAGAGGCAACAGUUACUGGCUGAUUUUGACUAAGGAUGAAAAUGAAAAUAUUUCAGUCAUUUCCUAUUCAGUGUAUUCUGUACAUUUUCUCAUUAAUCUGACAUGCAGUUUACUCUCUGGGUCACAGCCCAUUAGUUCAGGGGAGAAUGGCUAGUUAUGGGAGACCCGAGGGCUGGGCAGGGCCACUGUGGCUCCUGACAGCUUGCAUCAGGCUGCUCACGGUUUGAAAUACAAUGUUGCUUUACUAAUCCUUGUUUAUUCAACGUCCUUGAGCACUGACUUUAUGAGUUAAACUUAAAAAUCAGGGUUUGAGCAUCGUGUUCUUAGCGGUUAAUCCAGCUCAGGCGGAGUGGGGAAGAGGCUCCGCUGCCUCCUCCGAGUGCUAAGCAAGCACCUCCCUCCGGUGUGAAUCCUGAAGCUGCAGAGCUUUUCACGUGGAGUCUAAUCCAGUGGAUCUAAUUUCAUUUGCCUGAAGCCAGAAAUAUCCCUAGGCGGCAAAGAUAAGAUACGUUUUACUUUACGGAGUCUGUUAGCCCUUCGCAGCUCCUCAAUGCAGGCAUCCGUAAACUUUCCCUGUGUCAGUUACUUAAUUCAGAAUUCGGUACAGUUUCUUCACGUGGUUAUGGUGAAAGCUGCUCGCACCCUAGAACUGAGCAUGUGCAGAGAAUUGUUAAAUCAGAAGCCCUAUUUCACCUCCGGAAGCCUCGAUGGGUCAUGUUUCAAAUGGAGAUGGCCUGAGGGUGUUUCACAGGGAAAUGGCCUUGGGAGUGCAAACGCUACUAGGAUUUCGGUUUGUCUGGAAUGUCUUAUGAAAUCACCUUCUUCUCUGAUACAGUUAAAAUAUGCUCUUAUUAGAGCUAAAUGUUUGAAAUAUUUAUCUUUUUCCCUUAAAAAAGUUCUUUUUAAGUUUAUAUUUUUUGAGACAGAGUCUUGCUCUGUCGCCAGGCUGGAGUGCAGCGACGUGUUCUCAUCUCACUGUAACCUCCGCCUCCUGGGUUCUAGUGAUUCUCCUGCCUCAGCUUCCUGAGAAUCUGGGAUUACAGGCGCCUGCCACACGCCCAGCUAAUUUUUGUAUUUUUAGUAGAGACAGGGUGUUCACCUUGUUGGCCAGGCUGGUCUCAAACUCCUGACCUCAAGUGAUCCACCCUCCUCAGCCUCCCAAAGUGCUGGGAUUACAGGCAUGAUCCAUGAUGCCCGGCCCCCUUUUCUUUUUUUAAAAAACCAAAUAGCAGGUCAUAUGUCCUUAGUGAGCACACACAAUCACUUUGCAAGGCUAGACAUGGAGACUUCAGGGAGCUAGAGAAGUUCCAAGAUUCAUUAGAAAGUAGGUUGUAGAUGUUAAUUUAAAAAAAUGACCUCUAAAUCGCCCUGGAGCAAGGCAGGCAUCCCCAUCUAGACCGGCUGGCCCAGCGCAGAAAGGCCUGGCCUUCCUGCUCCAGGGCGCAGAGCAUAUAGCCCCUGGCUGGUGUGGCAGCAGGUGCCGCCCGGCCGGGGAUCGAGGGAGGGUGGUUUGGAGCCGUGGGGUGAACUGGAGUUCAGAACAGAAAAAGGCGCUGUCAGGAUGAGGGUAAGAAAAUGCCACCUGGACGUCUCGCUUAUUACUGGCACCUUGUUAUCCUUGUGGCUUCAGAAUAGAAUGUUACUGGACAGUGCUGUCCAGGUUCCUGGCGUGUUGAACCGAGAAGUGAACCAAAGGCACAAAAUAACAAAAGACCGAAGCACCAGAACAGAGUAAGGAAGGCGCAGAUACACUGAAGAAGAAAAGGCACAAUUCACGAAGCGGGGCGGGGCUUGAGCAAGUGGCUCUAGAGCCUCUCCUGUUAGGUUUUUAAUGUGUGUGGGGUUUUUUGUUUUUUUUUUUUGACAGGGGCUCACUCUGUCGCCCAGGCUGGUGUGCAGUGGCACGAUCUCAACUCACUGCAACCACUGCCUCCUGGAUUCGAGUGUUUCUCCUGCCUCAGCCUCCUGAGUAGCUGGAAUCACAGGCACCUGCCACCACGCCAAGCUAAUUUCUGCUUUUUUUGUGUGUGUGUGUGUGUGUGGGGGGGGGGGUUGGUUUCACCACAUUGGCCAAGCUGAUCUCAAACUCCUGGCCUCAAGUGAUCCACCCACUUCGUGCUGGGAUUACAGGUGUGAGCCGCCCUGCAUGGCCCAAUUAGGGUUUUUAUAAAGCCAAAAGAACUUGGCCACACCCCGCGGUGCCCUUUAGAGGCCUCUAAUUGGUUACUCCUUAUGAAGGAUGGCCCUGUGACCUAUCAGAGGCUGCAGUGGAGUUGGCCGUGGCAAUCAGGCUGCCUAGGAGGCUUUUGUCUUAUUGAGGGAGCGGGGCUGUGGCCUGUGAACUGCCCUGCCCUGCCUGGAACUGGCUGCACCUGCUGUUCCUUUGCUAACGCCCCGGGCCCGUGGCUGCCCUCAGUCCCUGUUCUCCCCGCCAAGCAGCGCAGAGCUGUUGGGAGAGAGUCUGGGGGUUCUUCCCAGUCUCAGUGUCGUCCUCAGGCCUGUCCCGAGCGCAGCGGCCGGGCUGCUCCUCCCCGGACCGUCUCUCGGGGCUGUGCAUGCAGGAGCCACCUUCCAGGAUGGGGACGUGAGCCAGGAGCAGGUGUCGGCCGUCUGCCGUGGAGGGGACUCCCAGCGUCCGUGUCCCUCUGCCAGGACACAGCCGGCGUGCACGGGGCAUGCGGCCGAGCUGUUCCACGUGGCCCCGUGGGCUGUGGGGCCGAGGGAACCACAGACUCCUGCACUUGCUGCCUCCUGCGCGGUGAGGAAUAAAACCCCGGUGGAUCCGAGCAUCUCCCGAUUCUACCGGCGACAGUGAAAUAGCCACAGGUAAUCAGAGUUGGGUCCUUACCACGUCUGACUCACUGCUGCCUAUCAGAGUGCGGCUUGCUCCACUGCAAGUAUCAACAGAUAACCUAACUGGAGACAUCACUGUGUGUCCACCAGAGGACCCCGAAGGCUCAGAAAAGGUUCACACCUUACGUUAUAACAACCGAAAACCAGCACCCCAAUGACUUUCUCAGACUGCUGAGGCUGCAAGGCCGUUGUUCUCUGCAGUGAUGAAACUGUGCUGUGACUUACACUUCCGUUUCUAGGAUUAACAAAGUCUCACUCUGUUGCCCAGGCUGGAGUGCAGUGGCACGAUCGUGGCUCACUGAAACCUCUGUCUCCGGGGUUCAAGUGAUUCUCCUGCUUCAGCUUCCUAAGUAGCUGGGAUUACAGACACGUGCCACCAUGCCCAGCUGGUCUCGAACUCCUGACCUCAGGUGAUUCGCCCGCCUCAGCCUCGGACUCUGACUCUCAAAGUGCUGGGAUUACAGGCGUGAGCUACUGGCCUGAACGUUCUUGAUGAGAUGCACCUGACCCAGGACAAUCGCAGAGGGAAAUGCACUCACACUGGUGUAAUUACAUCGCUGCUGCGUGUCAUCCCAUUUUACGGAACUACCUGAACUCAAGGCUGCACUCUGGUCUGUUAAAUGUAUGCACAUAAAACUGCUUAGUUCAGCUCAGGCAAAAAAUAGGUUUUGCCGAACUGCAUUAUUACAGGACUUAGAGCUCUUAUCACACCCUGCAGUGAAGAAAGGAAGUACAGCAUGAACCAAACACAGCUAACGAUGACAAGAAGCGAUUCAGGAGAACCAUACUGAUGGCUGCAUCCACGUACAGAGACACACAGGAGUUGAAGCAUGUAUCGGAAACAUCAAGGCAAACGCUCCACCUUCAUCUCCACAGAGCUGUCCCUCAUCUGCCAAGGGGACGGCCAGCAGGGCGGUCAGCUCAGAACAGAAAUCCUGAAUUCCACAGAGAAUUCUUACUGUGGCUGAGUUUGCCAAAAAGCCCUCACAAACCCACAAAGCGUUUUAAUUAUCAUCACCUACGUAAAGUUCCCACAGGGAAUUCUACUGCAGGACGUUUUCAAAAAACAAAACCAAAAAACCCCCAAGGUCUCAGGAGGAAAACUCUGUGAAACCAAAGGUUAGUUAACCUGUGUCAUUCCUCUUUCCAGAAAAACAUUGCCUAUUAAGAGGACUUUUGACCCCUCUCUGAAAUGUCAUAGCUAAGCUAUAUCACUUUUCUUGAAAAUUAUUACUGAUCAGCACAAGGAAAAGGUGCAUUAAACAAAUAAUGAUGACCCUGUCCUGUGUGAGUCGGAGAGGAGCCGCAGUUUGUGACUGUCCUGAGGGUCAGCCUGUGUCAACAAGGAGUGGCUCUGCUUUGCGGCUGAGAGAGCAUGAUGGUAACAGCCAGUACUUCCUUGUUGCGUAUGCUGCCCUGGGCACUGCGCCGAGGUUCUAGCCUUACCACACGUAAUCCACACAACAACCCUGCCGAAGUCUCCAGCCCUAGGAGGGAGUUGGGGGAUCAGAGGAGGGGUGACCUGCUCAGGGGCGCCCAGCUGCUUGGAGGCUGAGCCAGGGCUCUUGCCCGGAUCUCUGACCAUGAAGCCCCGUGCAGCAUGGAAGAAAAAGCACGAGGAAACCCUGGAGCUCGUGGCCGGCCACAGAGCCAGGGGACUGAGCAGAAACCCCACUUUCACGGUGUAAUUCUGAAGACAGGCGCAGAAGCUGUCCCUAAACUGUGAUGCACGUUCUGACAGGCGGGUGAGACGGGCUCUGGGAGGAAGAACAUCCGUGAGUGAAGACCCUGGCCCUCCUGUUAGGGUUUACCAUAUUCCCGCCUCUAGUUUUAAGUGGGUCACGACUUUAUUAAACCUUACCUUGCAUGACACGAAGAUUAUUAGUGUUAUUUUACACAAAAGGAUUGUAAUACAAUUAAUAGAUUUAAAAUUCCAUGUCUGUACAUAAGGAGCAGCCUUGUGUUUUAACUACAAAGGAUUCCAUUUUAUGAAUAUGGCCGAGUGCAUUUAAUGAGCCUUCGGUAGAGGGGAAAUGUGGUUGUUUCUAGUGUCUGCCGUUAUAAAUGAUGCUGCUGCACAUACACAUCUGUACUCGUGUGUGUGUGAGAACUUGUGUGAACACAGUCACCUGGUGGGAGGUCUGGGCCAGACGCAUCGCACUUUUGGCUAGAUAACUGUCAGAUCUGAUAUGAGUGAAAUAAACUCACAGGGAAUACUUUUAAAUGGAUUUUACAAACGAGCACUCGUUUUUAUCUUAAAAAUGUGGAGAAUAUUCAUCUCACUUACUCCAUUUCUAGGAAUCCAGCCUAGACAAAGGAUCAUAAAUUCUGACCAAUGUGUGAGGUGUUCAUUGCAGCAUUAUUUAUAAGGUGGCACCUGAGGAGAACGAGGGUGAGACAGUGGGAUAGAAAUGUGCAGCAAGUCAUGAUUUACUCGUGACAGUGGCUCAUGCCUGUAAUCCCAGCACUUUGGGAGGCAGUGGCAAGAGGAUCACUUGAGCCCAGGAGUUUAACACCAGCCUGGGCAACAUGGCAAGACCCCCGUCUCUUAAAUAAAAAUAGCUGAGUGGUGGUGCCUGUGGGACCAGCUACUCGGGAGGCGGAGGCAGGAGGAUCGCGGGAGCCUAGAAUAGUGAGGCUGCGGUGAGCUGUGACUACAGCACCGCACUCCAUCCUGGGCAACAGAGUGAGACCCUGUCUCUAAAAAAUAAGAAGAUGGUUAUAAAGGUAAUAACCCCCAAAAUGCUUGUAAUACAGACUUUAAAACACAGAUUACCAGGUGCCACGAACAACAGAAUUACCAGGUGCAUGCACACAUGUAGCAACACACUCAUACUAACAGGUACGUACAUGUACCAUGGAAAGGGUGAAAAGUACAAAAAAGUAACAAGGAGCUUUUCCUUCCUUCGUCUCCAAAUUUUCUCUAGUAUAUAUUUUUAUGGUGAAUUAGAAAAAUACAGCUUUUGGAGCUGGUCAGAUUCUGCUACUUGCUAGCCAUGCAACUCUUAUGAAAGGCUCUUAAAUUUUGUUGACUUUUUGCUUCCUUGUCUCAAAAAAGAGGGAAACACCCAAUGCCUGAGUGAACUGAUGGAAAACUCUCAGCCUGAGGCCUGAUUCAGGUAGGUUUGUUCACAGCAAAUGCUAAUUCCCUGUUCUCUCAUCUCAGGGCAAUAGUGGCAUGUGUAUGACAUUAAAGGUACUUGGAUACGAUGAACUCUGCAGAUUUUAUCAUGGCUGUCUUGUGAACCCUUUCUAAGGUAAACUCUGAGGAGGACAUGGUAAAAUCACACUUGGCCAGCAGGAGCUAAGUGCUUAUCCAUUUCAGAAAUCCUGGGCAUACAGAGGCUUCACGUGAGACAGAAAAGCAAAUCUGGGACAAAGAAAAUACUAUUUUCUACAGUGGAAAGGAAAUUCUGGCUAGAAGUGUAAGUGGAUUUAAAGAGUUCGGAGGCCAGGCAUGCUGGCUCACAGCUAUAAUCCCAGGGUUCUGGGAGGCAGAGGGGAAGGAUCAUGUGAGCCCAGGAGUCUGAGGCUGCAGUGAGCUAUGAUUGCACCACUGCACUCCAGUCUAGGCAACACAGCAAGACCUCAUCUCUUAUAAAAUGUUUUGAAAAAUAUAUGCAUGCAAGGAACAUAUGAAUGAGCAAAAUCACUCAUGGGUGUCACUCCCACACCCAUGGAGUCACAGGUUAGCCGUGGCAUCAAGGCCAGCCAGCCGCCUCUGAACCCACUUCUGUAGGGAUGCUGAGAAAAUGAAUGCGGGUGGGGCUGGCGGCAGGAACCGUUCACCAGUAAUACUGAGCCAGAGUGCAAAUCUGUAAUCUUUGCUCUCCCAACAAGCUCAUUUUCUGCUCUUCCUUCAAAACCUCACACGGAACACAGUGGGUGCCCUGGAUUUGAUACAAACUCCCUCUCCCUCAGAGACAUGCUCUUCCUCCAAGAGCCAGGGGUGAGUGGCCAGCUCUGCUGCCUGUGAGGCUCUGAGCUCCAGGGCAGCUGUGAGGAAGAGCAGCUGCCUGUGCCUGGAGAAUCUGGCAGGCUUUUGUCCCAGGCAGGACAUUCAGAACGGACAGCCACAGAGGCUUUUCCAGGCUGCUCCUGUCUUCUCACAACCUGGUGAGAGAGAUCAGAGUAGUAACUCAUCUCAUUGGCUGGGCGUGGUGGCUCAUGCCUGUAAUCGCAGCACUUUGGGAGGCCAAGGCAGGUGGAUCACCAGAGGUCAGGAGUUUGAGACCAGCAUGGUGAAAUCCCAUCUCUACCAAAAAUAUAGAAAUCAGUCAGGUGUGGUGGUGCACACCUGUAAUCCCAGCUAGUCAGGAGGCUGAGGCAGGAGAAUGGCUUGAACCUGAGAGGCGGACAAUGCAUUGAGCACACUGCACUCCAGCCUGGCCAACAAGAGCAAAACUCCAUCUAAAAAAAAAAAAAAACCCCAAAAUUGAUCUCAUUUAUAAAGAUGGGACUCACAAGGCACCAGGGAUGGAAGGGUCCUGAAUGUCAGACUAGGCCUCUGUCCUGCCUAACUGCAGUAUCUGGGAGUAAACAUGCACACAAAAGAAAAUGGAAAACUCAGCAGGAGAGACAGACCGCCAGGGGUAAAACCAAGAGAACACACAAAUGGUCCCGUCGUAGCCAAGAGAAGUGAGGUCAGGCCAGACCGUGACUUCUGGGUCAGAGGACCUCUCCGAGGCAGCUCAGCUGUGCCCACAAGCUCUCCUCCUUAUCUAGGACUGGCCUAUGAGUGCCAGGGCGGGGCCCAUUCUGUCCUCUGGGCAACUGGCUUGCCAAUCUGGAGCUCUGAAAAGGCCUGUCUGUGUGUCCCGCUCUAAGGGCCAGACUCAUGUGGCCGUGUCCAGCCACCUGAGGAACAGGGGACUUGCAGCUAGGCAGGGAGGGAGGAUGGGGGCCUAGGAGGUGUGAGCUGAGGACCCUCACUCACUGGGGAUCA